UACGGAGGGAGCAAGCGUUACUCGGAAUUAUUGGGCGUAAAGGGCGCGUAGGCGAUCUGAAAAGUUCUGUGUGAAAGCCCACAUGUUAACUGUGGAAGUGCACAGAAAACUGUUGGAUUUGAGUUCAGGAGAGGAAGGCAGAAUUCCUGGUGUAGCGGUGAAAUGCGUAGAGAUCGGGAGGAAUACCAGUGGCGAAGGCGGCCUUCUGGACUGACACUGACGCUGAGGCGCGAAAGCCAGGGGAGCAAACGGG
rnacentral:rRNA from 1 species